rnacentral:rRNA from 1 species
UACGUAGGGGGCUAGCGUUGUCCGGAUUUAUUGGGCGUAAAGAGCGUGUAGGCGGCCAAGUAGGUCCGGUGUGAAAACUCGAGGCUUAACCUCGAGAUGUCAUCGGAAACCAUUUGGCUAGAGUCCGGAAGAGGAAAGUGGAAUUCCUGGUGUAGCGGUGAAAUGCGUAGAUAUCUGGAGGAACACCGGUGGCGAAGGCGGCAUCCUGGACCGGUAUUGACGCUGAGGAGCGAAAGCCAGGGGAGCAAACGGG